CCCUCUGCCUCCUGAACAACCCUGAUGCUUCCCUGUGUGGUCCCUUGUGGCAUAGAGUGCCCCCUCUUCUCAGGAACUAUGGUGAUGGCCAGGGUGCACAAGACCCCGGUGAAGGAUGGGAAAAAGAGCAAGAAGAUGAAGAAAGUCAUCAUCUGUGAGGCCCGCCAGGCUUUGCUCGGAGGCUGGAAAUUCAUCAUCAGGCUGAUCUGAAGAGAGAGAGGCAGCCACCUCCCAUCUGCAGCCGGAGCAGCGGCAGAGGGACCCCAGCCAGGCCUGGCUUCCUGACACCUUUGCAGAGCCCCCUUCCCCAGCUUUAAGCGCCACCAGGUCACAGGUGACUGAACAAAGCUGAUUGAUGGCAAUGUCGGACUGACUCACAUUUUUGGAGUAGAACAUGAUGAAAAGCAUAAUCAUUUGGAUAAAGGGCAGCAGGGGGCAGAAGAAGAUGCCAAUCCUGUGAGGGAGAGAGGAGACGGGAUUUCACCAUGUUAGCCAGGAUGGUCUCGAUCUCCUGACCUCGUGAUCCACCCGCCUCGGCCUCCCAAAGUGCUGGGAUUACAGGCGUGAGCCACCACACCCAGCUAAUGUGUGUCACUUCUAAGCUGGAGCACUUAAUGCCCCUGUGAGACUCUCCAGAACUCCUCAUCUUCCCUUUGGAAUGGCGAUCAACGAUAUUCAAGAUGGCUGCUUCUCUCUGAGCCUGGAUCCCUCAGUAACUAACAUAAGAAGGUCCCUCCUGCUAAUCCACACUGUGUAUAUAACACGAGCAAGAAAUAAACCUUUGUGUUCGAAGCCACUGAGAUCUGGGGGGUUGUUACUGCAGUAUAACCUAACUUAUUCUGACUGAUACAUUCUCUUUUGUUGCAUCUCCAAAUGAUCUGAUUUCACUUCCCAUUAUAAUGAUAGUAAAUGUACAUAAUGUUUAUUGGGUGCUGACCCAGCGUACACUGCCAACCUCUUUAUUGAAUCAUCCCCCUCAGUCUUUACAAUUCCAUCAUCUAGUAGAUGGUAUUUUAUGCCCAUCAUACUCAAUAUGCAAGGUUAUGGGGUGCAGUGAGACCUAACAUUUCCCCUUCUAUACAAACUUUUAAAAGUGGCACCAUGGAUCGGUGGCUGGGAUGUGGGGAAUAAUGAGGGCAUAGGAAUAUAGUCAGAGUUUUCUUUCUUUCUUUCUCUCUCUCUCUUUCUCUCUUUCUUUCUUCCG
rnacentral:lncRNA from 1 species